rnacentral:lncRNA from 1 species
AUACUUACAAAUAACAACGUACUAGUAAAGAUUCAACUGUACAUUUUUCCCUUAGUCAGUUAUAUUUAAUAAUUUUUUGAGUUUUCGUGAAUUCAGUUUGUAGUUUUGUACUUUUGCGUCCUCAGCACUACAGUAACCCUCGUUUCUCCUCUCUGCCAUUUUGAUGACAAAAACUCUUUCUCUCUAUCUUCCUCUAUCGGUAUUUACGGCUCCGCUUUGUUUGAUCUUCAAAACCUAAGCUAGGGUUUUUGCCUCCAAAUAUUUGAAAAAGCCCUCACCUCUCCGUCCUCUAUCUCGAAUCUCUAGAUUCAAUUUUAGGGUUUACAGAUCUGUUCGACGCCUGCUGUGUAGCUCGCCGUUUAUCUGAUUCGAAUAUGUUUUGGAAGCUUCCAGUUCUUUCCUCUUGUUCUCCAUUACUUCUUGUGGUCGUUUAACUUUGUUGAGCUCGUCAUGAUUUGUUAAUGAUACUUUAGUUUUGAACUAAGUUUCAUGUGAUUUUAUAAUUUGGCACACCUAAAAGUGAAUUCAAAUGUGAGUCGAAUGGUAAUAAUAUUUCAUGUUAAUUGUAUUCAUGAUGAUAAAAACCUCCCCAUAAACCUUAUCUUCCCUUUCCCCAAAAUUCAUCCAAUUUAGCAAUUUCGACCAGCGAUUUCGUCUAUCCUCUUGUUCUCCAGUAUGUUUCUGGAUCCAUCUCUGUCUACUGUUUAAAUAGAUUGAGCUAAUAGAAUUUUAUCGACUCAAUUUUCCUUUAUAUUUUGCUCGUAAAGUUACUUAUUGUGGUCGUUUAACUUUGUUUAGCUCGUCAUAAUUAGUUAAUUAUACUUUAGUUUUGAGCUAAGUUUCAUUUGAUUUUAUAAUUUGGCACACCUCAAAUAAAAAGUGAAUUCAAAUGUGAGUAGAAUCGUAAUAGUAUUGCAUGUUAACUGAAUUCACGAUGAUAACUCUCAAAUCUGACAAAACAAAAAAAUUAAAAAUUAAAAUAUAAAAAAAGAAAAUCAAUUAAAAGAGAUAAGAAAGUUUUCAAAGGAACGAACUUUGGUAAAAGUGAAGAUCUAUGCGAUUUACAACGGUUUUUUAGUUGGAGUAUUUUUCGGAUUGCUGAGUCUUUUUAUAGCUGUAAGCACUAUCUGCUGGCAUGAGUAUUUCGUAAUGUAAUUAUAUGGUACUCCUAGUAUUUUAUGUACAUCUCUUGCAUAACCUGGUUUUGCUUUAUUCUUAUUCCGACAUUGACUAAGUCUAGCUCGCUCUGUAAAUACUGUUCAAUGAAGCUGUUAACCUCAGUGCAGUGUGUGUUUGUUUGCUCUUUCUGUUGACUUUCUUUCCAUCCUGGUGAGUACCGUUGCUUAUGAUAAGACUUGUUUUCCCUUGGAAUUCUAGGUUGAAGCAGUAUUAGACAAGGAAAACUUCACUUUGGAAGAGCUGCUUGAUGAAGAAGAGAUCAUCCAAGAAUGCAAAGCUUUGAACAGUCGUCUCAUAAAUUUGUAUAUUUUCUCCCAUUUCAAACUAUAUAGAUGGGAAGAGCUGCUUGAUGAAGAAGAGAUCAUCCAAGAAUGCAAAGCUUUGAACAGCCGUCUCAUAAAUUUGUAAAAUUUCUCCCAUUUCAAACUAUAUAGAUGCUUUUAAUU